CUGCAGCAUAUUGCACAAUAACAAGUUGCAGAAUGUUGUUUUGAUGUUGCCAAGCUGUCAUGAAAUCUUUUAUGGAAACGAAAUUUUAAGGGUUUUAAGACCUAUUGCAAUUUAAAAAAGUUAGUAAGUUAUUGGAGUAUAGUGUGUGAAUGCUUGAAAUGCCGCCCUUGACUUUUGGCACCCGAGGCGAAAGCCUAGGAACCCUGCCUCCCUCCUAGUAGGGAUGGGACGGUAUUUUAAUACCGCGAUUUUGGAACGGUAUUUUUGAGUAACGUAGUCGCGCGUUCUACAAACGUAAAGUAACCGGUUCCAAAGUAACGAUAGUUACGGCGUACCGGCACCGGACUUCGAAUAAUAACAUCGAAA